rnacentral:rRNA from 1 species
UACGAAGGGGGCUAGCGUUGCUCGGAAUCACUGGGCUUAAAGGGCGCGUAGGCGGGUCCGUAAGUCAGGGGUGAAAUCCCACGGCCCAACCGUGGAAGUGCCUCUGAUACUGCGGGCCUCGAGGGGGAUAGGGGCGUGCGGAACUCAGGGUGGAGCGGUGAAAUGCGUAGAUAUCCUGAGGAACACCGGGGGCGAAAGCGGCGCGCUGGAUCCCUUCUGACGCUGAGGCGCGAAAGCCAGGGGAGCAAACGGG